rnacentral:rRNA from 1 species
AUACGUAGGAGGCGAGCGUUGUCCGGAAUUAUUGGGCGUAAAGGGUUCGCAGGUGGUUUUUUAAGUCAGAUGUGAAAGGUCACGGCUCAACCAUGGUAAGCAUUUGAAACUGGAAGACUUGAGUUAUGGAGAGGAAAGUGGAAUUCCUAGUGUAGCGGUGAAAUGCGUAGAUAUUAGGAGGAAUACCAGUGGCGAAGGCGACUUUCUGGACAUAUACUGACACUGAGGAACGAAAGCGUGGGGAGCAAACAGGAUUAGAUACCCUGGUAGUCCACGCCGUAAACGAUGAGUGCUAGGUGUUGGGGGUCAAACCUCGGUGCCGCAGCUAACGCAUUAAGCACUCCGCCUGGGGAGUACGUACGCAAGUAUGAA